rnacentral:rRNA from 1 species
UACGAAGGGGGCUAGCGUUGUUCGGAUUUACUGGGCGUAAAGGGCGCGUAGGCGGUCAGCACAAGUCAGUUGUGAAAUCUCCGGGCUUAACUCGGAAAGGUCAACUGAUACUGUGCGACUAGAGUGCGGAAGGGGCAACUGGAAUUCUUGGUGUAGCGGUGAAAUGCGUAGAUAUCAAGAGGAACACCUGCGGCGAAGGCGGGUUGCUGGGCCGACACUGACGCUGAGGCGCGAAAGCCAGGGGAGCGAACGGG